AUUGAACGCUGGCGGCAGGCCUAACACAUGCAAGUCGAGCGGUAGCACAGAGAGCUUGCUCUCGGGUGACGAGCGGCGGACGGGUGAGUAAUGUCUGGGAAACUGCCUGAUGGAGGGGGAUAACUACUGGAAACGGUAGCUAAUACCGCAUAAUGUCGCAAGACCAAAGUGGGGGACCUUCGGGCCUCAUGCCAUCAGAUGUGCCCAGAUGGGAUUAGCUAGUAGGUGGGGUAACGGCUCACCUAGGCGACGAUCCCUAGCUGGUCUGAGAGGAUGACCAGCCACACUGGAACUGAGACACGGUCCAGACUCCUACGGGAGGCAGCAGUGGGGAAUAUUGCACAAUGGGCGCAAGCCUGAUGCAGCCAUGCCGCGUGUGUGAAGAAGGCCUUCGGGUUGUAAAGCACUUUCAGCGGGGAGGAAGGCGGUGAGGUUAAUAACCUCAUCGAUUGACGUUACCCGCAGAAGAAGCACCGGCUAACUCCGUGCCAGCAGCCGCGGUAAUACGGAGGGUGCAAGCGUUAAUCGGAAUUACUGGGCGUAAAGCGCACGCAGGCGGUCUGUCAAGUCGGAUGUGAAAUCCCCGGGCUCAACCUGGGAACUGCAUUCGAAACUGGCAGGCUAGAGUCUUGUAGAGGGGGGUAGAAUUCCAGGUGUAGCGGUGAAAUGCGUAGAGAUCUGGAGGAAUACCGGUGGCGAAGGCGGCCCCCUGGACAAAGACUGACGCUCAGGUGCGAAAGCGUGGGGAGCAAACAGGAUUAGAUACCCUGGUAGUCCACGCUGUAAACGAUGUCGAUUUGGAGGUUGUGCCCUUGAGGCGUGGCUUCCGGAGCUAACGCGUUAAAUCGACCGCCUGGGAAGUACGGCCGCAAGGUUAAAACUCAAAUGAAUUGACGGGGGCCCGCACAAGCGGUGGAGCAUGUGGUUUAAUUCGAUGCAACGCGAAGAACCUUACCUGGUCUUGACAUCCACAGAACUUUCCAGAGAUGGAUUGGUGCCUUCGGGAACUGUGAGACAGGUGCUGCAUGGCUGUCGUCAGCUCGUGUUGUGAAAUGUUGGGUUAAGUCCCGCAACGAGCGCAACCCUUAUCCUUUGUUGCCAGCGGUUAGGCCGGGAACUCAAAGGAGACUGCCAGUGAUAAACUGGAGGAAGGUGGGGAUGACGUCAAGUCAUCAUGGCCCUUACGACCAGGGCUACACACGUGCUACAAUGGCAUAUACAAAGAGAAGCGACCUCGCGAGAGCAAGCGGACCUCAUAAAGUAUGUCGUAGUCCGGAUUGGAGUCUGCAACUCGACUCCAUGAAGUCGGAAUCGCUAGUAAUCGUAGAUCAGAAUGCUACGGUGAAUACGUUCCCGGGCCUUGUACACACCGCCCGUCACACCAUGGGAGUGGGUUGCAAAAGAAGUAGGUAGCUUAACCUUCGGGAGGGCGCUUACCACUUUGUGAUUCAUGACUGGGGUGA
rnacentral:rRNA from 1 species